CGGGCGGCGGCGGGCUCCAGGCCGGGUUUUGCGCGACGCCCGCCCUCCUGUUAGAAAUAGGAAAAUUCAAUAAUCAAAGCAAAGGGGAGCGCGAGGAGGAAAAAUCCGGGAUCAGGGCAAGUUUGAUGGCGCAUGCGCGCUGCUGCCUCCAUCCCAAACACACACACAUUUCCCUUGACUUGGAAAGUCAACCAAAGCAGCCCCAAGUGCAGGGAAAAGAGACUUCACCAAGUGAAGGGAGGCCAUCUAAUUCACACUGUCUUCACCUGAGACCACCUCCAAAACAAAGAACCUGACUUCUGUCCUGGCUUUGUACACUGGAAUGGACCUUCAAGCCUGUGACUUCUCAAUGCAAGGGGCUUGGAAGGACUCAGAGACUGGGAGAUGUGGCAUUGGAGUUGGCCGUAGCACUGGAUGAACAUCUUGACUGUGGAUGGACAAAGAACACAGAGAGAGCACAGGAACCUGGGAUCUGCUUAACUGUAGGCAAUAGAGAUUCCUACAGCCAGCAGAAACAGGAGUGGAUCAGACAGAAAUGCCCUGCAAGGGGAAGGUUUCUGAGCUUUUGAGCUUUUCACCCUGAAGCCAUUCCUGGAAUAUCCCUGAGGAAACACUAUUAAACUGUCCUGUCCACUAGAACACCACCCCUGCCCAGUGACAG